ACAGGGAUUGCCCCAGUAACGGCGAGUGAAGCGGCAACAGCUCAAAUUUGAAAUCUGGCCUCGGCCCGAGUUGUAAUUUGCAGAGGAUGCUUUUGGCGCGGCGCCCUCCGAGUUCCCUGGAACGGGACGCCACAGAGGGUGAGAGCCCCGUAUGGUCGGACGCCAAGCCUGUGCAAAGCUCCUUCGACGAGUCGAGUAGUUUGGGAAUGCUGCUCAAAAUGGGAGGUAAAUCUCUUCUAAAGCUAAAUACUGGCCAGAGACCGAUAGCGCACAAGUAGAGUGAUCGAAAGAUGAAAAGCACCUUGAAAAGGGGGUUAAACAGUACGUGAAAUUGUUGAAAGGGAAGGGCUCGUGACCAGACUUGUGCCAGGCGGGCUCAUCCGGCGUUCUCGCCGGUGCACUCCGCCUGGCUCAGGCCAGCAUCGGUUCUUGCCGGGGGACAAGAGCGGCGGGAACGUGGCCCCCCCUCGGGGGGUGUUAUAGCCCGCCCGCACGAUGCCCUGGCGGGGACCGAGGUCUGCGCUCCGCAAGGAUGCUGGCGUAAUGGUCACCAACCACCCGUCUUGAAACACGGACCAAGGAGUCGUCCAUCAGAGCGAGCGUUUGGGUGUCAAACCCGCACGCGUAAUGAAAGUGAACGCAGGUGAGAGCUUCGGCGCAUCAUCGACCGAUCCUGAUGUCCUGGAUGGAUUUGAGUAAGAGUUUUGCUGGACGGACCCGAAAGACAGUGAACUAUGCUUGUAUAGGGUGAAGCCAGAGGAAACUCUGGUGGAGGCUCGCAGCGGUUCUGACGUGCAAAUCGAUCGUCAAAUAUGAGCAUGGGGGCGAAAGACUAAUCGAACUGUCUAGUAGCUGGU
rnacentral:rRNA from 1 species